rnacentral:rRNA from 1 species
GAUCAUGGCUCGGGACGAACGCUGGCGGCGUGCUUAACACAUGCAAGUCGAACGAGAAUCUACUGAAAGAGUUUUCGGACAAUGGAAGUAGAGGAAAGUGGCGGACGGGUGAGUAACGCGUGAGGAACCUGCCUUGAAGAGGGGGACAACAGUUGGAAACGACUGCUAAUACCGCAUGACGCAUAGAGGCCGCAUGAUCUUUAUGCCAAAGAUUUAUCGCUUCAAGAUGGCCUCGCG